AUGACGCAGAAGAAGGCAGAGUCCGUCGUCAUGGAGGAGGAGCAGCUGGUGAGAAGGCAUCGGAAGGAGAAGAAGGAGCUGCAAGCCAAAAUUCAGGGAAUGAAGAACGCUGUUCCCAAAAACGACAAAAAGAGGAGGAAGCAGCUCACAGAAGAUGUUGCUAAAUUGGAGAGAGAAAUGGAGCAAAAGCACAGGGAAUAACUGGAGCAAUUGAAGCUAACAUUCAAGAACAGUAAGAUAGAUUCUGUUGCUGUUAACAUUUCAAACUUGGUACUUGAGAAUCAACCACCUCGGAUUUCAAAAGCACAAAAGAGACGGGAAAAGAAGGCUGCAUUGGAAAAGGAGCGGGAAGAAAGGAUAGCAGAGGCUGAAAUUGAGAACUUAUCUGGAGCCAGACAUCUUGAGAGUGAAAAACUUGCUCAAAUAUUGGCAGCCAGAGAGUUGGAAAUUAAACAUAUUCCAUCUGAUUGUCAUUGUAUGUAUGGAGCACUCGAGGAUCAGCUGAGAGAACAAGACUGUGCGCUGACUGUGGCUACCCUAAGGAGGCAGACUGCUGAGUACAUGCAAAGCCAUUCAGACGACUUCCUGCCGUUUCUGACAAACCCCAGCACAGGAGACAUGUACACGCCAGAAGAGUUUGGGAAGUACUGUGACACUAUUGUAAACACAGCGGCAUGGGGCGGUCAGCUCGAGCUAAGAGCUCUGUCUCACAUCUUACAAACAUCAAUCGAGAUACUACAGGCAGAUGCUCCUCCUAUUAUAGUUGGUGAAGAGUAUCCGAGGAAUCCAUUAGUACUAGUAUACAUGAGGCAUGCGUAUGGCUUAGGAGAACAUUAUAAUUCUGUUACACGGCUGGUGAACUCAGCUACUGAAAAUUGCAGCUAGUUUACAAAAUGUUACACUGUUUUAUAGAGUGUGCCAGUCUACCAAGUGCUAGAUUGUUGUAAAUGCUCCUGA